CGGCAUGCCUAACACAUGCAAGUCGAACGAAGCCUUCGGGCUUAGUGGCGCACGGGUGCGUAACACGUGGGAAUCUGCCCUUGGUUCGGAAUAACAGUUGAAAUGACUGCUAAUACCGGAUAAUGACGUAAGUCCAAAGAUUUAUCGCCGAAGGAUGAGCCCGCGUAGGAUUAGGUAGUUGGUGGGGUAAUGGCCCACCAAGCCGACGAUCCUUAGCUGGUCUGAGAGGAUGAUCAGCCACACUGGGACUGAGACACGGCCCAGACUCCUACGGGAGGCAGCAGUGGGGAAUAUUGGACAAUGGGCGAAAGCCUGAUCCAGCAAUGCCGCGUGAGUGAUGAAGGCCUUAGGGUUGUAAAGCUCUUUUACCAGGGAUGAUAAUGACAGUACCUGGAGAAUAAGCUCCGGCUAACUCCGUG
rnacentral:rRNA from 1 species